GCGAAUUAAUUCCGACUUUCACGUAUUAAAUCUCAAGAUUGAGGAUUUAAUUUAUAUAAAUACGACGAGUAUUUAUUAAACAAGAAUUGGAGAAUUAUUACAGGAACUAGGAGAAACUAGAUCACGGCACUACACGUAUUUCUCGAUUUUUCAUCCAACACAACAAUUCCUACAUGUUAGUCAAAAAGCAGCUCCCACAAUUGUCAAAAAGUUGCGGCAAGCCAUUCAACAAUGGCAACAUUUCUUUUCACACUGCAGCCACCUACCACCUCAAUUCCCUAUAAAUAAUCCUCGAAGCAGCAUUUGUAAAUACACCCAAAACCAAAGAAAAAAAAAAGAUUCAUCUGCAAUCUAGAGAAAGAGAGGAGCAGGUGAAGGGUUGGGAGAAAAGGUGAAUAGUGAAGUACUGUUCAAGUGAAUAGUGACAGUCGUCGCGAAUAGUGAAAUUCGUGAAUAGUGAAAAUUAGAUAGUAAUUUUCACGGGGAAUAACGGGUUGUGAGUUGAGUGUUGUGAGUGUUGUAAACACUGUAUAUUUUUCUCCCUUGUUAAAUAGUUCUGCAGAAGGAAGAAGUGCAGCAAGAGGUGUGAGGCAAGAGAGAGUUUAGGAGAAUUUUUUUAAAAUUUCUUACUUGCAAGAGCUCAAGUGAGUUCCCUUCGCCAGGCUAUUUCUUCGCCGACCGGCCACUAGGCUCUGAACCGAGAACGUGUACUCGUUCCUCCAUCUUCAGGCUACCAAACCCAACAAUCGAAAGGCCGAAGCCUUCUCUAUAUUUUCCUGACCAAAGGCCGCAAUAUCCUUCGGAGGCCAACGUCGAAUUCCCGACUUAGCCACCGGCCAACUUACGGCUUUCGUUUCUCACUAUCCUUACGACGAAAAAGGAUUGAGAAAACACCGUUGUGUAGCCUGAUCUACCUCGCACGAGGAAGACUAAGUCGUAGACCUUCGCGGCUAAACACCAUCGCGGAACGACGACCAGAAAACCCCCGACGAACAACUUCCAUUAGUGCUCACUUGGACAAGGGUUCAAAUAAACAAAAGCGUCUGAGUAACCUAUCGCGCUAAGGAAAGAGAAUCAUUGUCUUAAGUAGCAAAACACUGCAAUCAGGUGGGCAUUACUUUUACUAUACGUAUAUAGAGAUCCCCUACGUAUCGUAGGCCUCUUAUACGAAUGAAUGCAUGAGAUGAUCUAACUGUUAAUUUCAGUUUCAUAUAUAUCAAAUGAGUUUAAAUGUUACAUUCAAGCAAGUUAUUUCAUGACAAAAUCUUUGAGUUAAAGUUAUUUCAAGUAUUGUCUUGCCAUAAAAUGUUUCAAUUUUAGUAUGAUAUCUAUCUGCUUUGGCUUUGCCAAUGAUGCAAUCGAAUUCGGGUCCUGAGCAGUUGAUAGCUAUCCUGCCAGGACUAGUGUACACCAGUGACCGUGAGUCAUCUAGCGGGUUGGCCGGUCAAGUGACCGUGAGAGGUGGCCACCUCUCCGGCACACAGUUCCAGAUAUGAUAGAUUACAAGAGAACUUAGACUGCAGUCGAACUUUAAGAAUCACAAAUGAAUUUAGUAAGCUUGGGCCUUUUUAGCGAAAAAACUCCCUUGCUGUACUGUUUAUGAUGGCAUGACAAUUUACAGUUUUGAAGCAUGUAUUUUUAUACCUAGGCAUACGUGCCCACUGAGUGCUUUUGUACUCAGCCCUGCAUAUGUUUUCUAAAUGUGCAGGUUGAGCUGAUGUGAUGAUGGUGCUGCAAUGAGCGGAGUCUCCAGGGUUGUUAAUAAAUAGUUAACCUGUCUAGAAUAUGUCUUCAUACAUAUGUCUAGCUACUUUCCGCUGCAAGAUGUUGUUGAUGUUAUAGUAUGUUAUGUCAUACUUUGAGUCUUAAGAGAAUGGUUUCAUAUGAUGUAUAACUUGAUUAAUGAUAUUAAUUAAGUUUUAUGCUGUCUUUCAUAGACUAUUUUCAA